CCUUGUACACACCGCCCGUCACACCACGAAAGCCUGUUGUACCAGAAGUCGCUGGCCUAACCCCUCGGGGAUGGAGGCGCCUAAGGUAUGGCCGGUGAUUGGGGUG
rnacentral:rRNA from 1 species